rnacentral:rRNA from 1 species
AGUGAACGCUGGCGGCGUGCCUAACACAUGCAAGUCGAGCGAGUUCAUACAGCACACCGUAUGAGCUAGCGGCAGACGGGUGAGUAAUACUUGAGAAACCUUCCUCAGAAUGGGGAACACCCCCGAGAAAUCGGGGCUAAUACCCCAUAAGACCACAGUCCAGCAUCGGACAGGGGUCAAAGGUCCGCAAGGGCUGUUUUGAGAUGGUCUCGAGUCCUAUCAGCUUGUUGGUGGGGUAACGGCCCACCAAGGCUAUGACGGGUAUCCGGCCUGAAAGGGUGUACGGACACACUGGAACUGAGACACGGUCCAGACUCCUACGGGAGGCAGCAGUGGGGAAUUUUGGACAAUGGGCGCAAGCCUGAUCCAGCAAUGCCGCGUGCAGGACGAAGGCCUUCGGGUUGUAAACUGCUUUUGUACGGAACGAAACGGUUCUCUCUAAUACAGGGGGCUAAUGACGGUACCGUAAGAAUAAGCACCGGCUAACUACGUGCCAGCCGCCGCAGUAAAAC